ACUGUGUGUUUGAUGGUCAGAACUACGACAGUAUCUGAUCAUCUUCGAACCUCCGACUUUCAUUCUUGAUUAAUGAAAACAUUCUUGGCAAAUGCUUUC